UUUGCAUAGGGCGGAAAACAGAUUCUCUAUUGAAAAUGCAUUUUUCGAGUUCAAUAUUCAUUAUCUCUGAAUAUAGACCAUCUGUGGUAUAUUUGCUUUUACUGAUGGAUAGAUCUAUGUUUCUGGAAGCUUCAUUAGCAAAAUUUUUUUGAAAUUCGUUUUUAUAUGGAAUUUGUGCAUUUGUGAAUAUCAUGAAGUAUUGCCAAAAAGACAGACAACAUUUACUUCUGGAUUUAUGUGAUCCCAUUUCAAAAGGUAAGAAACAUAUUUUAGAAAUAUAACUCAUGUAUAAAAUACAUACUUAGUAUUUAAAAAUGAUUGUUAUACACCAUAAAGAAAAAAAAAAGUAAAUAAAAUGCUUCUUUUGUCUUAAAUUUGAAAAAAAAUAGCCUCGAUGCAAUUUUUGAAGUUGUGAUGUCGCCAAACAAUGUGUACAUUUUUUUUUUAAUAUAAAUUACAUUUUGCCGAUUUUCGUUUCAAAACACUUAUUUUUGUAUUUCUAUCAUCAUAAUUAAUUAUUUUUUUUAUUUUUUGGCUAUUUAAAAUAAAAAAAUAUUUAUAAAAUCUCGUUUUUUUUAACACCAAUCAGAAUGGAGGUCGCCGGAAUUGACUUCAUGACCUCCCGUUCAAAGUGCUUUUUUUUUUUUGUCAUUCGCUCAGAAAUAUUCGAAGCGAUAAUUCUAGCAAAGGUAAUUAUAGACAGAAUCUAUUACAGAUAAUUCAGUUCAUAAUAUCAACUGCUUAGUUAAUUAUUCUGCUUUAAUAAUAGGAUGUCGUUUUCUUCAAUAAUUAACUUCAAGGACGGGAACACGGGUAUCUAUCUUUAGCCAGGCGCGCGCGAUAAAAACAAACAAACACACGUUUUGACUUAGUCAACCUGAAGGCGCACCUCUGAAUUGAGAUCUUAGUCUGUAAAAGCUAAAAACCUAUAAUUUUUAAAUUAAUAUCGACUACUACGGCAAUUAUUUUACUUUAAUAUUGGUGCAUUGCAUGCGUCAUAAAAUCGGCCCGGCAAUGCGAUGUUUCAGCGUGAGGGGGGGGGGCACAUUUUGAACUUAGAUUUUAGAUCUAAAUUAAUCUAUCUCUAGAUCUAUAAUAGUUUCUACAGAUCUAUAUCUAUAAAGACUAGAUCUUAACCAUAUUUUAAAAUCAAUCUAGCGAAAUGCUUUUAGAUUAGUUAGACAUAGAUCGAUCUCUAGGUCUAGGACUAGAUCUAGGUCACUGGACUUAGACUCUGAGAUUAGAUUAGUCUAGAUCUAGUCAUUAGAGUUAAUAAGCGUGAAAUUAUUUAAAUAUUUACUGAUCUAGAUCUAAAUUCUCUUAUCAGGAUAGAUUAGAUCUAGAACUAGAUGAUUUAGAUCUAUAUUUAUAUAUAGAUCUAGUCAUUUCUAGUAGAUAGUCAAGUAGCGAUGUACACACGUGGAUCAAGAAUCAAGACCCAAGACCGUAGUGAUCUAGUCUAAGUCUAAAUGUAGACUCUAGGUCUUAGAUCUAUAUAAUUUAUAUAGCCUUAUAUCUACGUCUAAAUAUAAUUCAUACAACAGUUACUACAGAUACAAAGAUUGAGAUUAUUUGAGAUAGUAAACAGAAUAGUCAAUAGAUAUAGAUCAUGCACCAUGCAAGUUAAGCUUUAUUAGGUCUAACUCUAAGUAGAGUACUCUAGACUUAGAUCUAAAAAGUGAUCAAGAACUAGAAUAGAUCUAAAUCUUGAUAAUAUUUCAUUUAAUAUUAGAUCUUUUCUAGUCUAAAAUUAUACAUAUCUAUAACCUUUAUCUAAAAUUGAUAUAAAUAGUAUCAUGUUAAAACAUGAAGAUAAGAGAAAAAAAAAAGACUUUUUAUUGGUAGCGUGGGCCGAAGAGGGGGCUUAUUUAUUAAUUAUAAAUACUUUUUAAGGUUGUUUUUUUUUUUUUUCAAAUGUUCUAUAAAUAUACUUUACUUUGUGACAUAGUUUUAAGAAAAUAAUAUUGUGAAUUUGUGAAAUUCAUGAAUUAUUGGACAUAUCUUCUGUGAAUUAUGGAUUUUUCAUUAUUAGGGGUUAGUGUGUUUGAUCUCAUUUUUUUAUGUUAAAUACUUGUCUGAUGAUAAUGAAUUUACUUUUUUUGGAUUCCUCUCUUCUUGGGCAUUAAAAUUGAUACAUAAUAUGUCUAAACUGAUUAUGUUUUUGUUAUUUAGGAUAAUGAUAAAGUAUAAUUUGCAACCUAAUUUUUUUUACGGAGGGGAAGGGGUCUGGGGUGGCUCAAUUAAUUUGCAUAAAUGACUUAAAAAACUUGUUUUUAUAUUUUUUUCAAAUGUUCUAUAAAUAUACUUUACUUUGGGAUAUAUUUUUCUAUAAAUAAUAUUGUGAAUUUGUGAAAUUCAUGGAUUAUGGGACAUAUCUUCUGUGAGUGAUGAAUUUUUCAUUAUUAGGGGUAAGUGUGUUUGACCUCAUUUUUUCAAGUUAAAUAAUUGUCUGUUGCUUCUGAUUUUAUUUUUUUUGAAUUCCUCUAUUCUUGGGCAAUAAAUUUGAUAUAUAAUAUGUCAAUAAAAGUAAUUCUGAAAUUGGUCAAAAAAAUGGUCCUUAAAGUAGAAUGUUGAGAGCUCAAUCUGUUUUCCGCCAUAGAACAUCUUUCAUUCUAAUACUAGACCAGUGCAAGACAUAGGCUAGCGAGAGAUCAAAGCCUGAAUCUCUAACUAGAUGAAGGACAAUAAAAAUCCUAAUUCAUUUUACCUAAGAUUUAGACAUCGAAUAGAUCAUUAUUACUGUUCCUUUGUGAUAAAUUAUGGAUUUAGAAUAGUUUUAUAUUUUACUUUUAUUUAGUAGUAAACCUUUUGGAGUGCAACUUGAACCAGUAUAGUGAUGCUGAUGAUUUUUACCAAAAAACAAUACUAAAAAAAAUUGCUAGAAAAUAUACCAAGAAAAGGCCCAGCAUGGUGGAUGAAUAUUGGAUUUAGAUCUGCCAUUUCUGUUGUUUUCAUUUAUCUAAGGGUUAGAUCUAUAGGAAUCUACAAAGGUGUAAAGAUAAAAGCAUAGAUCUAGUCAACCUUGAUCUACAUUCAAGACCUAGCCCUAGUCUAAGGCUAAGGCCUAAGCCUAAGCGUAUAAGGCAAUACUAGAUCUAGAUCUAAAUCUAAAUGCUAAUAAUGUCCAAGUCUGCUUCAUCCUAUGCUAAAUCUUGAUCAAGAUCUUCAUUAUUACAAUUCAUAGAAGUAUAAAUAAAACAAUAAUAAAGCUUCUUCAGUAGUAAACAUUGUGGGUGUGUCUUGGACAAGCAUAGCCAUGAUGUUGUAGAUUUUUACAGAUAAACAAUACUAAAAAAAAAAAACAAAAUGGGGAAAAAAUGCCCACAGUGGAUGAUUAUUUGAUGUAGAUCUACCAUUUCCUUUCUUUUUAUUUACCAGAAGCUUAGAUCUAAAGAUAUAUCUAGAUCUAGAGUCCAAGUCUAGAGAUAAAAGCUUAGAUCUAGUCAAUCUCGAUCUACAGACUACACCUAGCCUACUGACAAUAAUAGAUUUAUCUAGAUCUAAAUACUAAUAAUAGAUAUAAUCAUAUAAAUUAAAAUACGCUAAAUUUAGACCUACCUGAAAUCUAAUCUAGAUCAAAUUCUUCAUUAUUACUAUUUAUUUGUGAUAAUUUUUAGAAUAAUUAUAAAGUUUCUUCAGUAGUCAACAUUGUGGGUGUGUCUUGGACUAGCGUAGUCAUGGCGACGUUUUUUUACAUUGUAAAAAAAGUAAUAAAUAAAUGUCUAAAUAAAGCCAAAAGCUUCUAAUUUCUAUGUAAACAAAGGAUGAAGAACUCUUUUAUAAAUUAAAAAUAGUUCCACUGUUGUUAGUUAAAAUUUUUAAUUUAAAAAUGCAACGAAACAAAGGUAGGGUAAGAACGUCUAUGGGAUAGACGUUCCGUGCGUUUAGGGCAGACAGACCGUCUAUGGGAUAGACGCUCCGCACUCAUUGAGUUAAUUAACUUGACAUACUUUUAGAUCAAUUAUAUUUCAGACACUUCUAAGAAAACCAGCUUUGAAAUUGAUCAGAUUCUUUUUUUUUUUCUUGUCUAUGUUUUUAUUCUUUUAGCAAUCUUUAAAACUGAUGACAAUAAUUUAUAAUUAUUAAUUUGAUAUUUACUGGUGUUUCAGUGUUGUGGUCAGCUUUAUGUCCAGAAGAACUUGAAGCAUGUACCUCUGCAUUGUCCACUGACUGGGUCCUGUAGAUAGCAAAUGGUACUUCGCCUGUCUGUCGACACAGAGCUUCAUACAGUUAAAUAGCUGACAUGGAGGCCAAUAAGAGGAAAGUGCAAACAGGGUUGUCCUCGUAUUACUUGAUGCCACACCUUCAUGGAGGACCUCAGAACAGUGGACACCAGGUGGGAGGAGGCUUCAGACAUUGCCAAUGACAGAUCUUUAUGGAGACAGCUUGCCGCCCAAUGCGCCGAACGGUGUGGGAGGACCUAAGUCUAAGUAAGUAAGCUGAAAGAAAACCUUCACAUCAUGCAUUGACAAUAUUGCAAGUGUGGUAAGGCAUUUCAGAUUACAAUCCUGGUAGUGUGGUUUGCACUAUGGACUAUUGCCUUGAUCCUCUCAGGCUCAAACCCUACACACUGCCGUUCCCUGCCAUCCUGUCAGGUUUUGGCUAUGAUGUAAUAAUCUUCUAUUCUGAAGGAACAUUGAAAACAUACAUAACAAACAAGCCAAAAUGUUGCUUCAAUAUAAGUUGAGUUUUCUUGGCUGUAUCACAAAACUAAGUCAAGUAGGUUCUUCAAAGUUCUAUUUAGAUUUUAAAAAUAAAAAACUUACACUUGAC